rnacentral:rRNA from 1 species
GGAGUUUGGUCCGUGUCUCAGUACCAAUGUGGGGGACCUUCCUCUCAGAACCCCUACUGAUCGUUGCCCCGGUGGGCCGUUACCCCGCCGGCAAGCUAAUCAGACGCAUCCCCAUCCCUUACCGAUGAAUCUUUGCUCCUCGUUAGAUGCCUGCAAAGGAGAACAUAGAGUAUUAAUCCGACUUUCGCCGGGCUAUCCUCUAGUAAGGGGAAGGUUGGAUACGCGUUACUCACCCGUGCGCCGGUCGCCAUCAAAGGAAGCAAGCUUCCUUCAUGCUGCCCCACGACUUGCAUGUGUUAAGCCUGUAGCUAGCGUUCAUC